UGGUGUCGACAGACCAGUUUUUGGCUUUUUAUCAUUCACUAUUUUUUGAUUUUUCUGUUACACACCUGAUCCAAUUUUGAUGUGAAUGGAACCACAAGACUUGCAAUAUUACUAAACAAAUAGCAACUACACGAAGCUUAAAUUGUUGGGGGAACACCAAUCGCUCUCGAUCUUCCCCUCUACAGGUAGAAACUGACCAAAUAGAAGCAAUAGAAUCAAAACCGAUUAAAAAUGAUGGCAAAAGGAGAAAAUAACGCAAGAAACAAAAAGAAAAAAAUAAAAUAUGAAGAGCAGAACGUGAAAAGAAAGAAAAUAAAUAAUCUUAAAUAAAAAAAACAAAUGGAAACGUGGGAAUAGGGGAA
rnacentral:lncRNA from 1 species